rnacentral:lncRNA from 1 species
GGCCGGGCUUCUAAACCUCUUAAAACUCCCCAACUCUGGCUGCUUUACUUCCAAAGGAAGCUGGAAUCAUUCACUGCAAAGGCCAUCAAAAGGAUAGAUCCCAUUGCUCAGGGCAAUGCUUAUGCUGAUAAGGUAGCUAAAAAAGCAGCUAGCAUUCCAACUUCUGUCUCUCAGAGCCAGUUUUUCUCCUCCUCAUUGGCUACUCCCACCUCUCCCACUGAACCUUCCACCUAUCAAUCUCUUACACAAGGCAAAUGGUUCGUGGACCAAGGAAAA